CGCGGUAAUACGUAGGGUGCAAGCGUUGUCCGGAAUUAUUGGGCGUAAAGAGCUCGUAGGCGGUCCGUCACGUCUGCUGUGAAAACUCGGGGCUCAACCCCGAGCCUGCAGUGGAUACGGGCGGACUAGAGUUCGGUAGGGGAGACGGGAAUUCCUGGUGUAGCGGUGAAAUGCGCAGAUAUCAGGAGGAACACCGGUGGCGAAGGCGGGUCUCUGGACCGAUACUGACGCUGAGGAGCGAAAGCGUGGGGAGCGAACAGGAUUAGAUACCCUGGUAGUCCACGCCGUAAACGUUGGGCGCUAGGUGUGGGGGACUUUCCACGUCCUCCGUGCCGCAGCUAACGCAUUAAGCGCCCCGCCUGGGGAGUACGGCCGCAAGGCUAAAACUCAAAGGAAUUGACGGGGGCCCGCACAAGCGGCGGAGCAUGUGGCUUAAUUCGACGCAACGCGAAGAACCUUACCAAGGCUUGACAUAUAGGGAAAACUGGCAGAGAUGUCAGGUCCGCAAGGGCCCUAUACAGGUGGUGCAUGGUUGUCGUCAGCUCGUGUCGUGAGAUGUUGGGUUAAGUCCCGCAACGAGCGCAAACCUCGUUCCAUGUUGCCAGCGGAUAAUGACGGGGGACUCAUGGG
rnacentral:rRNA from 1 species